AGCAAGUGCGGGUGCUAUAAUGCAGUCGUGCGGACCUUUUAAAGCUUGCUUUUAAAAGGUUAGCGGCGGACGGGUGAGUAACACGUGGGCAACCUGCCUGUAAGAUCGGGAUAACGCCGGGAAACCGGGGCUAAUACCGGAUAGUUUUUUCCUCCGCAUGGAGGAAAAAGGAAAGACGGCUUUUGCUGUCACUUACAGAUGGGCCCGCGGCGCAUUAGCUAGUUGGUGGGGUAACGGCUCACCAAGGCAACGAUGCGUAGCCGACCUGAGAGGGUGAUCGGCCACAUUGGGACUGAGACACGGCCCAAACUCCUACGGGAGGCAGCAGUAGGGAAUCUUCCGCAAUGGACGAAAGUCUGACGGAGCAACGCCGCGUGAGUGAAGAAGGCCUUCGGGUCGUAAAACUCUGUUGCCGGGGAAGAACAAGUGCCGUUCGAACAGGGCGGCGCCUUGACGGUACCCGGCCAGAAAGCCACGGCUAACUACGUGCCAGCAGCCGCGGUAAUACGUAGGUGGCAAGCGUUGUCCGGAAUUAUUGGGCGUAAAGCGCGCGCAGGCGGCUUCUUAAGUCUGAUGUGAAAUCUUGCGGCUCAACCGCAAGCGGUCAUUGGAAACUGGGAGGCUUGAGUGCAGAAGAGGAGAGUGGAAUUCCACGUGUAGCGGUGAAAUGCGUAGAGAUGUGGAGGAACACCAGUGGCGAAGGCGGCUCUCUGGUCUGUAACUGACGCUGAGGCGCGAAAGCGUGGGGAGCAAACAGGAUUAGAUACCCUGGUAGUCCACGCCGUAAACGAUGAGUGCUAAGUGUUAGAGGGUUUCCGCCCUUUAGUGCUGCAGCUAACGCAUUAAGCACUCCGCCUGGGGAGUACGGGCCGCAAGGCUGAAACUCAAAGGAAUUGACGGGGGCCCGCACAAGCGGUGGAGCAUGUGGUUUAAUUCGAAGCAACGCGAAGAACCUUACCAGGUCUUGACAUCCUCUGACCUCCCUGGAGACAGGGCCUUCCCUUCGGGGACAGAGUGACAGUGUGCAUCUGUCGUCAGCUCGUGUCGUGAGAUGUUGGGUAAGUCCGCCACGAGCGCACCCUUGACC
rnacentral:rRNA from 1 species